AGCGUUCCAGUUUGCUUUCCUGAUGCUGUGAUAAACACCAUGACCCAGACCAACCUGGGGAGGAAAGGAUUUGGCUUACACCUGACGUUUCAUCAUUCAUGACCUCAGGAAAAAGGGUCCUGCUAUAUAAAUCCGGCUGUCCUGGAACUUGCCAUGAAGCCCCAGGGCUGACCUGAAACCUACCAUUCUCCUGCCUCAGCGACUGGAGUGUUGGGCCUGCAGGUAGUCACAGAGGAGCGGCUGGCAGAAGAGCUUAAGAAUCAUGCUCUGUUCUCUGGAUAUAGGAGGCAAGAGGAUGUUUUGUCUGGGGAAGACAAAAGUUCCUGCCUGGUUCCUAGAGAAGUUUGAAGUCUAUAUAUUCCCAGAAUCUGUGGACUCAACUUCCUGUUCAUGUUUAUUGCUGGUGUCAAGCUCAUAAAGAACUGCUUGUCCUGUCCCAGAGCUGGGGAUGCGACCCAAAGACUGCGUGCACACUGGGCAAGCACUCACCCCCUGAGUCACGUCUUCAGUCCAUGAGUGACUGGUUUCCUUAUGCUGUACAUGCAUUCACUUACUAAGCCUCACUGUUGUGCCAGUUGGUAGUUUUAUUCUAAUGUUACAGAUGAGAGGACUGGAAAGUCAGAGAGACUAAGUGACUCGCCCAAAAACACAGCCAGAAAGAUGCUGAAGGGGCUGGGGGGAGAGGGGUGAGGAUGGGAACUCCUACUUGGCAGAUUCCUGUCCUUUUUCUUAUUCCAUAGAAGGCUUACAACCACCCUCCCCAUUUUCUUUUCCUUUGUUAUUUACAUCCCUCCCACAGUCAUUCCCAAGACUGACACUUGUGUUUUAUCUGAUAUGGAAAUUUUAUAAGCACAUCCCUGCUUGGGUCUGUCAUUCUUCAGGGCCCAUCUUCCCUUUCAUGUCACCAUCUUUCGAUCCUCAUUUGUGCUCUACUUUUAAAGCAGUGUCAGACAGCUUCUGAUUUCUGGGAUCUGUCAAGAUGUUACAUAGCCCUGUACUCACAACACAGAGUUCCCUCUGCCAGGAAGGGAUUGAAGACCCACCCCCCCCACAUACACACCCUCUCCACAUUGUAAAUCUUCCCCCAUGCCACGAAAUGCACCAGUACUGACAAAGAAAGAAAUCGGGGACAGAGGAUAGAAGCUGUCAGUAUUUACAUACCUCACCUUGAUUACCUGAAAUAACCAAGGGAAUCAACUGCAAAGCUAAUGAGACGACUCAGUAGUCAGUGCCAAGGUGUAGACACAUCACUGAAUGGAUCUCCUAAUCACCCACAGUAACU